rnacentral:rRNA from 1 species
GAACUAGUACCGUGAGGGAAAGGUGAAAAGUACCCCGGAAGGGGAGUGAAAUAGCACCUGAAACCGUGUGCUUACAAGCGGUCGGAGCCGGCUUUGUCCGGUGACGGCGUGCCUUUUGCAUAAUGAGCCAGCGAGUUACUCGUCCACGGCGAGGUUAAGGAAACGGAGCCGUAGCGAAAGCGAGUCUGAACAGGGCGUUCAGUCGUGGGCGGUAGACCCGAAACUGAGUGAUCUAUCCAUGGGCAGGUUGAAGCGGAGGUAAGACUCCGUGGAGGACCGAACCGACCUAGGUUGAAAACUGGGCGGAUGACCUGUGGAUCGGAGUGAAAGGCUAAUCAAACUCAGAGAUAUCUGGUUCUCCCCGAAAUAUAUUUAGGUAUAGCCUCGCAUGUUCAAUUGCGGUUGUAGAGCACUGUUUGGUCUAGGGGGCCUACCAGCUUACCGAAAUCAGGCAAACUCCGAAUGCCGUAAUUCCAGAGUGCGGGAGUCAGACUGCGGGGGAUAAGCUUCGUGGUCAAAAGGGAAACAGCCCAGACCGUCGGCUAAGGCCCCUAAUUCCAUGCUAAGUGGGAAACGAUGUCCGAUUGCAGAGACAACCAGGAUGUUGGCUUAGAAGCAGCCACCAUUCAAAGAGUGCGUAACAGCUCACUGGUCAAGUGGUCGGGCGCGGACAAUGUAACGGGGCUCAAGCAUGGAGCCGAAGCCACGGACUUCGAGCUUUGCUCGGAGUGGUAGGGGAGCGUUCCCAGGGCGGUGAAGCGGCGGCGUAAGCCUGCCGUGGAGCGCUGGGAAGUGAGAAUGCUGGCAUGAGUAACGAAAGGCGAGUGAGAAACUCGCCCGCCGAAUGCCUAAGGGUUCCUGAGUAAAGCUAAUCUGCUCAGGGUUAGUCGGGACCUAAGCCGAGGCCGCAAGGCGUAGGCGAUGGACAACAGGUUGAUAUUCCUGUACCACGUCCCAACCGCUAUCACCGAUGGCGGGACGGGGUAGGCUAGGAGAACCCAGGCGAUGGUCGACCUGGGGUAACCGCGUAGGGCGGGGGAUAGGAAAAUCCGUCCCCCAUCAAGCCUGAGAC